UCGCCGGGCCUGGGCAAGGCCGCCUUCCGGGCGCCGAGGGGGACAGCGGACAGCCCCAGCACACCUGUGUAUCACGACACUGAGUGCCCUCCAGGCACACCUAGUCCGGUGAGGGAAAGGGCAAGGACAGCCCCCAGCAACAAGUGCCACCAGUGGGACAGUUCACAGAGGCCCAUCACGUGUGAAAUACCAACAACAGCUACCAGCAAGCUCUUAACUGUCUCCACUGUGUAGCCUUGGAGAAGUUACUUCACUCUCACGGCCUCACUUUCCUCCUCUGUGAAACGGGUUGCUGUGAGGAUUUAAUAAGUAAAGUGCUUAGGGGAGGCCAGGAGCUGUAUAAACAGCAGGCCUUGUUCCCUUUGUCCUGCUGGCCGAGGCGGGGCUGGGUCUCUGAGAGGCCGGUGUCACAAGGAACAUUCCAGAUGCCAUUGGUCUCCUUCGGCUCCAGGACUGAUGCGGGAAGUUGGGUGCGACGCACGAAGAAGACCAGAUCGAGGGUUCAGGGCCCACCAACCUGUCACAGAUACUGCCUGGGCCCGAGGAUGAGUUUUACCACCCAUGGAGAUCCCUACAUAGGGAUCCAGCUGGGGGCCCUUAUAGACAAAGCUGCUGUGAACAGUCGCUCAAGUGCUGGUGCAGGUGUGCAUGUCCUCAGUCACAACCCAGGGAGCGGAAUUGCCGGCUCACAGGACUGUAAGCCCUCUGAGGAUAAACAAAGCUGCUGUGAACAUUCGCUGAGGUGCCGGUGCAGGUGUGCCAGUGUCCUGAACAAUGCCAGCACUGCAUCUGAUACUUACAACAUCAUUUUCCAGGAGGAGAAACUGAGUCUCAGAGAGGCCAAGCGCCAUGACCAAGGAACACAGGGCUCUCAGGUUUCCAUAUUAUGUUUUGAGGACCAGUCUUCCUCACCCAUAGAAGAGGAAACAGUCACUUGUUAUUGUGAAAGAAACAAGUGUUUGCAAAGAUCUUAGCUC